rnacentral:rRNA from 1 species
AUGGGGGAUGUAGGAGGGAGGGGAAAUCUGGCUUCGUACUUACAACUGGACAAUACCCACCGUCAGUUCUCAUCGAGCAGAAAGAGAGAUUCACUACAUUGGCAAGGAAAAUCUCACCUGCAUCGGGUUUCCACCGGCACGGAUCUAAGUGGAGAGGCACCGUGCUCGCCGCCAUCGGGGAGGAGGGCGUGGUCGGGAGCCCCCCAUGCUCGCCAGCGUGAACGGCCGCGGAGAAGAGGAGCACGAUGCCAUGGUGGACCCUUGGGAAGGCACUGCUUCCUCUUGCGCUUUCCGUUGCCGACGACGGCAAUGGUCUGGGUGGAGGGCGGCCGACGGCCCCGACCUGGAGUGAUUGGCGGCUGCGGUCACUUGGGUGCUCGGCGGCGCCGCUCUGGAGCGGUGGAGGGCGACGGCAGCACGGCUCGGCAUGGAGGGCGACUGCGGCACGGCUCGGCAUGCAGGGCGACGGCGGUACUGUCGGGAUGGAGGGAGGUCGGCGGCGGUGGGAUGGCUGGGGGCGGCGACGGCGGUGGGGAUGGCUGA